UGAGUUAUCAUUGAGAACUAAAUGGAGAAGAAAAGAACUGAAGGCCUGAAGAUAUGUCAUCUGUAGAAAAGAUGGACAUCUGAAAUCAUCAAACCCUUGAGAGAAACAGCCCUCAUUCUUUUAUGAGACAACCUGGAAGAAAACAGGACUCUGAAGAUUUGUCUCCAUAUUCUCUGGAAAGAUGUACUCUGUUUGCAAUAAGAGGGAGCCACAUGGUUUAUUAGAUGGUUAUUAAUUGAGCAUUCUGUGCAAAGAAGUUUGUGCCUUAGAUUUAGAAUUCCACCCUCAGUUGGAAUACAGAUGAUCCCUAACAAGUCACAUGAAAAAAUGAACUGUGGAGCCAGAAGAGUGAGUUCUUGGAGAACUAAGGGCCAGAGACCUGUGAGCAAGAUUUGAUAAUUUUAUAAAAAUUAAAAGACGAUUUGAAAUGUUA
rnacentral:lncRNA from 10 species